UACGGGGGGGGCGAGCGUUGUUCGGAAUUACUGGGCGUAAAGGGUUUGUAGGUGGCCUGCUAAGUCAGACGUGAAAUCCCUCAGCUUAACUGGGGAACUGCGUCUGAUACUGGCGGGCUUGAGGACAGGAGAGGAACGCGGAAUUCCAGGUGUAGCGGUGAAAUGCGUAGAUAUCGGGAGGAACACCAGAGGCGAAGGCGGCGCACUUGACAGUUACUGACACUCAACUGCGAAAGCGUGGGGAGCAAACAGG
rnacentral:rRNA from 1 species